AGAAGUUUAGGUUAAACCAGACCAAGAGCCUUCAAAGCUCUAAGCAAGUAAUAUCUACUUAACUUCUG
rnacentral:tRNA from 1 species